AUUGAACGCUGGCGGCAGGCCUAACACAUGCAAGUCGAACGAGUGGCGGACGGGUGGGUAAUGUCUGGAAAACUGCCUGAUGGAGGGGGAUAACUACGAGAACAGUUAGCUAAUACCGCAUACCCUCGGAUGUGCCCAGAUGGAUUUAGCGAGUAGGUGGGGUAACGGCUAACCUAGGCGACGAUCCCUAGCAGGUCUGAGAGGAUGACCAGCCACACUGGAACUGAGACACGGCCCAGACUCCUACGGGAGGCAGCAGUGGGGAAUAUUGCACAAUGGGCGCAAGCCUGAUGCAGCCAUGCCGCGUGUAUGAAGAAGGCUUUCGGGUUGUAAAGUACUUUCAGUGGGGAGGCGGUACCUGCAGAAGAAGCACCGGCUAACUCCGUGCCAGCAGCCGCGGUAAUUC
rnacentral:rRNA from 1 species